UUCAGGGAAAAACUGUUUUAAACUUAAAAAUUAAAUUUAUUUUAAUUUGUGAAGAAACAAUUAUUUAAAUUAAGGACAAGAAGACCCUAAGAAUUUUAAAAAUAAUAAUUUUAAUAUUAAAAUUAUUAUUUUUUGGUUGGGGCAACUAAAAAAGAUUAUAAACUUUUUAUUUAAUAAAAUGAUCCAUUAUUAAUGAUAAUUUGAUAAAAAUACUCUAGGGAUAACAGCGUAAUAAUUUUUGAUAGAACAUAUAGACAAAAUAGUUUGCGACCUCGAUGUUGGAUUAGGAUACUUUUUUAAUGAAGAUGUUAAAAGAAGAAGUUUGUUCAACUUUUAAAGUCCU
rnacentral:rRNA from 1 species